rnacentral:rRNA from 1 species
UACGAAGGGGGCUAGCGUUGUUCGGAAUUACUGGGCGUAAAGCGCGCGCAGGCGGCUAUCCAAGUCAGUGGUGAAAGCCCGGAGCUCAACUCCGGAACUGCCCAUUGAAACUGUUUAGCUUGAGGACGAGAGAGGUGAGUGGAAUUCCCAGUGUAGAGGUGAAAUUCGUAGAUAUUGGGAAGAACACCGGUGGCGAAGGCGGCUCACUGGCUCGUAUCUGACGCUCAGGCGCGACAGCGUGGGGAUCGAAACAGG